UUGAAGUCUUUUAUGACUGAGUGGCGGACGGGUGAGUAACGCGUGGGUAACCUGCCUCAUACAGGGGGAUAGCAGCUGGAAACGGCUGGUAAUACCGCAUAAGCGCACGGUAUCGCAUGAUACAGUGUGAAAAACUCCGGUGGUAUGAGAUGGACCCGCGUCUGAUUAGCUAGUUGGUGAGGUAACGGCCCACCAAGGCGACGAUCAGUAGCCGACCUGAGAGGGUGACCGGCCACAUUGGGACUGAGACACGGCCCAGACUCCUACGGGAGGCAGCAGUGGGGAAUAUUGCACAAUGGAGGAAACUCUGAUGCAGCGACGCCGCGUGAGUGAAGAAGUAGUUCGCUAUGUAAAGCUCUAUCAGCAGGGAAGAUAGUGACGGUACCUGACUAAGAAGCUCCGGCUAAAUACGUGCCAGCAGCCGCGGUAAUACGUAUGGAGCAAGCGUUAUCCGGAUUUACUGGGUGUAAAGGGAGUGUAGGUGGCCAGGCAAGUCAGAAGUGAAAGCCCGGGGCUCAACCCCGGGACUGCUUUUGAAACUGCAGGGCUAGAGUGCAGGAGGGGCAAGUGGAAUUCCCAGUGUAGCGGUGAAAUGCGUAGAUAUUAGGAGGAACACCAGUGGCGAAGGCGGCUUGCUGGACUGUAACUGACACUGAGGCUCGAAAGCGUGGGGAGCAAACAGGA
rnacentral:rRNA from 1 species